UGGGGAAUAUUGGACAAUGGGCGAAAGCCUGAUCCAGCCAUGCCGCGUGUGUGAAGAAGGUCUUCGGAUUGUAAAGCACUUUAAGUUGGGAGGAAGGGCAGUAAGCGAAUACCUUGCUGUUUUGACGUUACCGACAGAAUAAGCACCGGCUAACUCUGUGCCAGCAGCCGCGGUAAUACAGAGGGUGCAAGCGUUAAUCGGAAUUACUGGGCGUAAAGCGCGCGUAGGUGGUUCGUUAAGUUGAAUGUGAAAGCCCCGGGCUCAACCUGGGAACUGCAUCCAAAACUGGCGGGCUAGAGUAGGGCAGAGGGUGGUGGAAUUUCCUGUGUAGCGGUGAAAUGCGUAGAUAUAGGAAGGAACACCAGUGGAGAGGGCGACCACCUGGGAUCAUACUGACACUGAGGUGCGAAAGCGUGGGGAGCAAACAGG
rnacentral:rRNA from 1 species